CGAGCCUUCGGGCAGCGUACACAGGUGCUGCAUGGCUGUCGUCAGCUCGUGCCGUGAGGUGUGGGUUAAGUCCCGCAACGAGCGCAACCCUCAUCGCUAGUUACAUGUGUCUAGCGAGACUGCCAGGGUUAACCCCUGGAGGAAGGUGGGGAUGACGUCAAGUCAGCAUGGCCUUUAUGCCCAGGGCUACACACACGCUACAAUGGUCGGUACAAUGGGAUGCCAAGCCGUGAGGCGGAGCAAAUCCCCAAAGCCGGCCUCAGUUCGAAUUGGAGGCUGCAACUCGCCUCCAUGAAGUCGGAGUUGCUAGUAAUCGCGUGUCAUUAUCGCGCGGUGAAUACGUCCCUGCUCCUU
rnacentral:rRNA from 1 species